UUUAUGGAGAGUUUGAUCCUGGCUCAGGACGAACGCUGGCGGCGUGCCUAAUACAUGCAAGUCGAGCGGAGUUGUGAGAGAGCUUGCUCUCAAGCAGCUUAGCGGCGGACGGGUGAGUAACACGUAGGCAACCUGCCCGUAAGACCGGGAUAACAUGCGGAAACGGAUGCUAAGACCGGAUACGCAGCCCCCUCGCAUGAGGGAGCUGGGAAACGCGGAGC
rnacentral:rRNA from 1 species